AAACCCGCACGCCGGAAGACCAAGGGUUCCUGUCCAACGUUAAUCGGGGCAGGGUGAGUCGACCCCUAAGGCGAGGCCGAAAGGCGUAGUCGAUGGGAAACAGGUUAAUAUUCCUGUACUCGGUGUUACUGCGAAGGGGGGACGGAGAAGGCUAUGUUGGCCGGGCGACGGUUGUCCCGGUUUAAGCAUGUAGGCGGAUGUUCCAGGUAAAUCCGGAACGUUAUUAACGCUGAGGUGUGAUGACGAGGCACUACGGUGCUGAAGUGACAAAUGCCCUGCUUCCAGGAAAAGCCUCUAAGCAUCAGGUAACAUCAAAUCGUACCCCAAACCGACACAGGUGGUCAGGUAGAGAAUACCAAGGCGCUUGAGAGAACUCGGGUGAAGGAACUAGGCAAAAUGGUGCCGUAACUUCGGGAGAAGGCACGCUGAUGGUAAGUGAAGUGACUUGCUCAUGGAGCUGAAAUCAGUCGAAGAUACCAGCUGGCUGCAACUGUUUAUUAAAAACACAGCACUGUGCAAACACGAAAGUGGACGUAUACGGUGUGACGCCUGCCCGGUGCCGGAAGGUUAAUUGAUGGGGUUAUCCGUAAGGAGAAGCUCUUGAUCGAAGCCCCGGUAAACGGCGGCCGUAACUAUAACGGUCCUAAGGUAGCGAAAUUCCUUGUCGGGUAAGUUCCGACCUGCACGAAUGGCGUAAUGAUGGCCAGGCUGUCUCCACCCGAGACUCAGUGAAAUUGAACUCGCUGUGAAGAUGCAGUGUACCCGCGGCAAGACGGAAAGACCCCGUGAACCUUUACUAUAGCUUGACACUGAACACUGGUCCUUGAUGUGUAGGAUAGGUGGGAGGCUUUGAAGUGUGGACGCCAGUCUGCAUGGAGCCAUCCUUGAAAUACCACCCUUUAAUGGCUGGUGUUCUAACGUGGGCCCCUAAUCGGGGUUGCGGACAGUGUCUGGUGGGUAGUUUGACUGGGGCGGUCUCCUCCUAAAGAGUAACGGAGGAGCACGAAGGUCAGCUAAUCCUGGUCGGACAUCAGGAGGUUAGUGCAAUGGCAUAAGCUGGCUUGACUGCGAGCGUGACGGCGCGAGCAGGUGCGAAAGCAGGUCAUAGUGAUCCGGUGGUUCUGAAUGGAAGGGCCAUCGCUCAACGGAUAAAAGGUACUCCGGGGAUAACAGGCUGAUACCGCCCAAGAGUUCAUAUCGACGGCGGUGUUUGGCACCUCGAUGUCGGCUCAUCACAUCCUGGGGCUGAAGUAGGUCCCAAGGGUAUGGCUGUUCGCCAUUUAAAGUGGUACGCGAGCUGGGUUUAGAACGUCGUGAGACAGUUCGGUCCCUAUCUGCCGUGGGCGCUGGAGAAUUGAGGGGGGCUGCUCCUAGUACGAGAGGACCGGAGUGGACGCAUCACUGGUGUUCGGGUUGUCAUGCCAAUGGCAUUGCCCGGUAGCUAAAUGCGGAAGAGAUAAGUGCUGAAAGCAUCUAAGCACGAAACUUGCCCCGAGAUGAGUUCUCCCUGACUCCUUGAGAGUCCUGAAGGAACGUUGAAGACGACGACGUUGAUAGGCCGGGUGUGUAAGCGCAGCGAUGCGUUGAGCUAACCGGUACUAAUGAACCGUGAGGCUUAACCUU
rnacentral:rRNA from 2 species